rnacentral:misc_RNA from 1 species
AAGUCGUAACAAGGUUUCCGUAGGUGAACCUGCGGAAGGAUCAUUACAAAUCCAAGUCAAGUCUAUUGACAAGUUGAAAUGUGUGUGUGAGAGAGAAUAUAUUUCCACACAAUAAUCCAUACAUCAGUUGAACAAAUAUCAUUCAUUCAAUAUUUUACACAACUUGUAACAAUGGAUCUCUAGGCUCUU